rnacentral:rRNA from 1 species
UACGUAGGGUGCGAGCGUUAAUCGGAAUUACUGGGCGUAAAGCGUGCGCAGGCGGUUUUUUAAGACAGGCGUGAAAUCCCCGGGCUUAACCUGGGAACUGCGCUUGUGACUGGAAGGCUAGAGUAUGGCAGAGGGGGGUGGAAUUCCACGUGUAGCAGUGAAAUGCGUAGAGAUGUGGAGGAACACCGAUGGCGAAGGCAGCCCCCUGGGCCGAUACUGACGCUCAUGCACGAAAGCGUGGGGAGCAAACAGG